CCUACGGGGGGCUGCAGUGGGGAAUAUUGGACAAUGGGGGGAACCCUGAUCCAGCCAUGCCGCGUGUGUGAAGAAGGCCCUCGGGUUGUAAAGCACUUUCAGUGAGGAAGAACGCCUGGUGGUUAAUACCCAUCAGGAAAGACAUCACUCACAGAAGAAGCACCGGCUAACUCCGUGCCAGCAGCCGCGGUAAUACGGAGGGUGCGAGCGUUAAUCGGAAUUACUGGGCGUAAAGCGCGCGUAGGUGGCUUGAUAAGCCGGUUGUGAAAGCCCCGGGCUCAACCUGGGAACGGCAUCCGGAACUGUCAAGCUAGAGUGCAGGAGAGGAAGGUAGAAUUCCCGGUGUAGCGAUGAAAUGCGUAGAGAUCGGGAGGAAUACCAGUGGCGAAGGCGGCCUUCUGGACUGACACUGACACUGAGGUGCGAAAGCGUGGGUAGCAAACAGGAUUAGAUACCCCGGUAGUC
rnacentral:rRNA from 1 species